GGCCCCAUCGUCUAGUGGUCUAGGACGUCACCCUUUCAAGGUGAAGACAUGGGUUCGAGUCCCAUUGGGGUCA
rnacentral:tRNA from 1 species